rnacentral:rRNA from 1 species
UACGUAGGGUGCAAGCGUUUAAUCGGAAUUACUGGGCGUAAAGCGUGCGCAGGCGGUUCGGAAAGAAAGAUGUGAAAUCCCAGGGCUUAACCUUGGAACUGCAUUUUUAACUACCGGGCUAGAGUGUGUCAGAGGGGGUGGAAUUCCACGUGGUAGGCAGGUGAAAUUGCGUAGAUAUGAUGGAGGAACACCGAUGGCGAAGGCAGCCCCUGGGAUAACACUGACGCCUCGAUGACACGAAAGCGUGGGAGCAAACAGG